rnacentral:rRNA from 1 species
AGUGAACGCUGGCGGUAGGCCUAACACAUGCAAGUCGAACGGCAGCACAGGAGAGCUUGCUCUCUGGGUGGCGAGUGGCGGACGGGUGAGGAAUACAUCGGAAUCUACUCUGUCGUGGGGGAUAACGUAGGGAAACUUACGCUAAUACCGCAUACGACCUACGGGCGAAAGCAGGGGACCUUCGUGCCUUGCGCGAUUGAAUGAGCCGAUGUCGGAUUAGCUAGUGGGCGGGGUAAAGGCCCACCAAGGCGACGAGCCGUAGCUGGUCUGAGAGGAUGAUCAGCCACACUGGAACUGAGACACGGUCCAGACUCCUACGGGAGGCAGCAGUGGGGAAUAUUGGACAAUGGGCGCAAGCCUGAUCCAGCCAUACCGCGUGGGUGAAGAAGGCCUUCGGGUUGUAAAGCCCUUUUGUUGGGAAAGAAAUCCAGCUGGCUAAUACCCGGUUGGGAUGACGGUACCCAAAGAAUAAGCACCGGCUAACUUCGUGCCAGCCGCCGCAGUAA